UGUAACGGAUCCCUCCUGGUAUAUGGACAGCGGUGCAAACUAUCAUGUCACUCCUCACUCUGAGCAACUCGAACACAUCACUCCAGUAGGACAAGAAGACAGAUCAGUUACUGAUGCGAGGAGCUCCCAGGCAAGGCCUUUAUCCAAUGGCAAAUAAAGGCCGCACACCUCAAGCACAAAUGACGAACUACACAUCUAAUGCAGAGGAUGACUUCAUUCGGUGGCAUCACUCCUUAGGACACCCCAGCAAUAAAGUCUUGAAAGACAUCUUGAAUAAGUGUAGUGUGAGUGUUCAUAUAAAUGAUAAACACGUGUGUGAGGCUUGCCAGUAUGGUAAAUCAAAAUUAUUGCCAUUUCCUAAUUCAACUUCCCAUGAUUCUUCUCCUCUUGCACUAGUUCAUACAGAUUUGUGGGGCCCAGCCCCGGUUCAAUCUUCACAUGGGUUCCGUUAUUACAUUCAUUUUAUUGAUGAUUUUAGUCGUUAUA